GAGCAGCCCGAACCGCGCCUGCUCCGAGCGCUCCUGGGCUCCAGCGGGACGGCCGGGCGUAGGGAGGGUCGGCCUCGGCCUUCCCGGGGGCCACAGCUGCCCUCUCACCUGCAGGACCCGGGCAUCUCCGCAGCCUGCACCCUCGGGGGCCCCGAAGGACCCCUCCCUUCCCCGCUCUGUCCCCGCGGGCUCUGGGGCGUCUGCUCCGGUUACCCGGCCUCUCUCUGCUCCGAUCUCGGGGCGGGUUUAGGGCCGAGCCCUGGGGGCCUUGAAUGACCACGGGAGGCAGACGGAGUCCUCGGCGGGAGGGGGAAGGUCCCCCCAGUAAAGGUCCCACUUUCAGGUCAGGCCGGGCCUUGAAGGCUGGGCGGCCAGUCCUGCGGCCCUGAGUGGGGACUCGCGGUGCCUCCUCCAGGCCCGCCCGUGGCCACGCGUGGGCCAGUCGGCCUGUGCUUCCUCCGCUCUGAGGUCAUGAAAGUCCCGGGACCAGGCAGAGCAGAGGCCGGAGGACGACCCAAGAAGGGAGGCAGGAAUACCUCAAAAGUGAUGCCGUUUGUAUUCUCCACUGCAUUGUAUCAGGAAGAAUGUGAUGUAAACUGUUUUCCCAUCUGGCGAUGUUAACUUCUGUCAUUUGGCUAAGGUGGCAUCUGCCGGCCUCCUCCACUGUGAAGUUAAUUGGUACGUGUUUUGUACUUACGAGUUAAGAAGUAAUAUUUUGAGACUCCUAUUGUAGGGCAGAGCUUUCUCUUCUCUCCAUGAAUUUGUUUGUGUAUGUAUGUGUAUCAGUGGGGAAAUACUUAUGGAUUCCUAUUUUAUUCAGGGGUUCAAAAUCCAUACUGACGUCGAAAUCCA